rnacentral:rRNA from 1 species
CCUACGGGAGACUGCAGUGAGGAAUAUUGGUCAAUGGCCGGAAGGCUGAACCAGCCAUGCCGCGUGAAGGUCAGUGCCCCAUGGGCGUUAAACUUCUUUUGUGCGGGAUCAAUACUGGUCACUUGUGGCCAGACGAGAGUACCGUACGAAUAAGCAUCGGCUAACUCCGUGCAAGCAGCGGCGGUGAUACGGGGGAUCCAAGCGGUAUCCAGCUUUAUUGUGUUUAAAGGGUGCGUAGACUGUGAGGUCAGUCAGCGGGGGAAUGCCCCCGCUCAACGGGGUGAAGUGCCAUUGAUACUGGCGUGCUGGAGUGCGGAUGCCGUGGGAGGAAUGUGUGGUGUAGCGGUGAAAUGCAUAGAUAUCACACAGAACACCGAUUGCGAAGGCAUCUCACGAAUCCGCGAUUGACGCUGAUGCACGAAAGCGUGGGUAUCAAACAGGAGUAGAUACCCCAGUAGUC